rnacentral:pre_miRNA from 1 species
UCUUAUGGAUAAGUACAGAAAGUGGUUUCUUGAGAUAGAGUCUACAGCUGGUGAAGAUGCUGUGAA